AUUGAACGCUGGCGGCAUGCCUUACACAUGCAAGUCGAACGGCAGCACGGGGCAACCUGGUGGCGAGUGGCGAACGGGUGAGUAAUGCAUCGGAACGUACCUUUCAGUGGGGGAUAACGUAGCGAAAGUUACGCUAAUACCGCAUAUUCUGUGAGCAGGAAAGCAGGGGAUCGCAAGACCUUGCGCUGAUUGAGCGGCCGAUGUCAGAUUAGCUAGUUGGUGAGGUAAAGGCUCACCAAGGCGACGAUCUGUAGCGGGUCUGAGAGGAUGAUCCGCCACACUGGGACUGAGACACGGUCCAGACUCCUACGGGAGGCAGCAGUGGGGAAUUUUGGACAAUGGGGGCAACCCUGAUCCAGCCAUGCCGCGUGAGUGAAGAAGGCCUUCGGGUUGUAAAGCUCUUUCGGCCGGGAAGAAUUCGCACGGGCUAAUACCCUGUGUGGAUGACGGUACCGGAAUAAGAAGCACCGGCUAACUACGUGCCAGCCGCCGCAGUAA
rnacentral:rRNA from 1 species